UGGCAGAGAGGAACGUAUAACAGAGACAGUGAAAGAUACAGGCCCGGAGGAGGAAACGGAUAAAACGUGGGCGUUGAGUGAUUGUUGUCGGUGCUAGUUUCCAUUGGGAGUCAUGAGAGAUACCAGCGAUAUGAUGGAGGACUCCUUGUCCGAGGAGAUGAUGCCGGA